CGGCAGCGCUAUAAAUGCUGGCGCGCUAGAGUGCGCUCGCUCUUAUUAUUGCGAUGUUGCGGUGGAAGUGCGCUAAAGCGUACAAAACUGAGAAAGUCAGGCGGUCACAAGGGGGGGCUGAAUGUGGUCUGAAUCUACUCCAGCUGCUGUAGCUCCGCUGCUUCAGUUUCUUACUACGAUUGUUGUUGCAGGUCACACAAGACCCCAAAAUGCCUUGAUCCCAAUGGCCAGUUUUGCUGAAAGGUAAGAAUAGUUUGGACUUUUUUCCCCCCCUUAAUGUCUUACCAUGCACCGUGCAUCAGUGCAUGUGAUAUCUAAAAAGUUGAACUUUUCAAUUUUUCUUAAACCUGCUUUUUUUUGCUGACAUCACUAAAUUUAACCUUUCAUGAAUAAAUUCAUCCAUUUCAUGAGCCAUUUAUUGUCCCAGUCAACCACAUGCAGUUUUUUUUGCUAAUCGUGUCACAUUAGGCAAGUAAAAUGGGUUGUUACUGCUAUUUCAUGUUGGUUGAUAUUGGUCACAUUACUUUGACCUGAUUGUUAAAUUACUGACUUUACAGGAGGAGGUAAAUGAGGGGGAAAUUUGAAAGGUCCAUCGAGAUCAUCCUAUUGUGGGAAAGAUGUGCGAAGAUCUUCAGAAAUCAAGUUCUGUUCCUGCCCUUUUUUAAUGUUAAAAGUGCUCGGUGCUCACUGUUAAGUUUACAUUUUUAAAAAUGUAUUGUACGUUGUUACAAAUAUAUAAAAUCUACAAUUAUAAACUUAGCCCACUUCCUUUAGUGGAAAUUCCUAUAACAGGGUUGUUUUGUGUUCCUGGAGAGCCACUUUCCUAAAAUGCAAAAGUUUUCAUGUAGGAUUGCUGCUUUGUCGUCAUGGGAAUGGCAUGUAGAUUGACAUGAAAAUAUCAGGGAUUUUAGCAUAAGGCUGCAACAAAAUGUGAAAAAUGAAGAGGCUCUGAAUGCACUGUUCAGGAGGUGUCCGUUCCUGUUUCUGCAGUGCCACCUUCAGCAGUUUAGCUCUAGCCCCAGAUAAACGUGCCUGAAGCCAGGUGUUCUGCAUCACUGGUCUUUCAAGCGUGCUGGUGCUAAACUGCAGGAAAGUGGUCCUCCAGGAUCAGGAUUGGACAUCCUGCUCUAGCAUUAUUUGAGCAUGAGGCUGCUAUACGAAGACGAUGAAUGAAGGAGAUUUCUGUAAUGGUGCAAUGUUUGAUUGGUCUCAUUUGGUUCUGGUAUUGUUUUCAAACACUGGACAAUAAAAAUGUAUGAAUAAAAAAUUUAUUUGUCUGAAUACCUGAAAC
rnacentral:lncRNA from 1 species